AGAGUUCGAUUGUCCCUUCACCGGCGAGAAGGUGCUGCUCGUCCCGGCAUUGAAUCCCGAUGUUGCGGUGAUCCACGUGCAGCGCUGCGACGCUUACGGCAACGCCCAGAUCGAUGGCUUGCAGUUCAUGGAUAUCGAUCUGGCAAUGGCGGCCAACCGCGUGAUCCUGACCACAGAGCGGAUCGUUUCCAAUGAUCAGAUCCGCCGCGCGCCCGACCAGACCAAGAUUCCAUUCUUCUGUGUCGAUGCGGUGGUCGAAGUGCNCUCCGCCCCACAUGAAUGUUACGGCGUCUACGAGCCGAUGAUGAAUCAUCUCAACGCUUACGUGGCGCAGGUGAAUGGUGAUCCCGUCGGUGGGAUGGAGAAGUAUCUAGACGAGUAUGUCUACGGCCCGAAAACCUGGAACGAUUUUCUUGCGAAGAUCGGAA
rnacentral:misc_RNA from 1 species